AUGAUUGGUCUAUUUUGGAACAUUAGAGGCCUGAAUGGGUCCAUCGAAAGUAAUAGACUGAAAGAGCUCAUUAUAGCUCAUAAGCCUGAUUUUAUUAGUAUUUCUGAGUCUAAGAAAGAAGACUUUACCCCUCUUCAAUUAGAAGCUUUUGACAUUAGAUCUUGUUAUACUUGGAAAUGGCUUCCUGCUAAUAACACUGCUGGAGGCAUCCUAGUAGGAAUUAGGGGGGGUCUCUUUGACAUUGUUUGCUGUGAUAUACACACUUACAGUGUUUCUUGCUUACUCCAAAACAAGCAAGAUGGAUCUUCCUGGAAACUGAUCUCCAUUUAUGGUACUGCUUAUGAACAGUACAAACUAGACUUCAUCAAUGAAUUGCACAACUUGCUUACUGGGUGGACUGGUCCAACUCUGGUAGGUGGAGAUUUUAAUCUGAUUAGGGAAGCC
rnacentral:rRNA from 1 species